rnacentral:misc_RNA from 1 species
GGAAAAGGAGUUGCCGCAGGAGACUGGCAUGCCAUAAUGAGCGUCGUAGGAAGCCUCCAUCUGGUUCUCUUUUCUCUACACACUAUGGGAAUCUUUCUUCAUCAAUAUUUGAAAAUAAUAGCAGUAGAUCCGGAAGCUUUCUGGUAGACUUCAGCUCACACCAAAAUGUCAAUGAGAGUUCAUGGCCAAAUACUCGAGCAUCUGAACAAGGAUGGGAUCAUCAAUCAUCAGGGAAGUUCCUUCAACGUCCUUGGCUGAAUAACUCUGAAAAUGCUGCUAGUGAGCUUGUUUUGCAAGGUUCAGCUACCAGGACCAGUUAUCAUGGUGUUCCUUCAGGAGACUAUUUUCCUGGAGUCUCAGAUUCAAGUGGUGCUCUCUCUCUUCUGUCAA